GACGAACGCUGGCGGCGUGCUUAAUACAUGCAAGUCGACCGGAACGGCGCUGCCUAUGUCGGUUGCUCGAUUGGCGACCGGGUAAGUAACACGUGAGUAUCCUGCCUCUGGCUUUGCGUUACCUUCAGGAAACUGGGGCUAUUACAGGAUAUGAGCUCCCGCUGCAUGGUGGGGGUUGUAAAGUUUCGGCGGUUGGGGAUGGACUCGCGGCUUAUCAGCUUGUUGGUGGGGUAGUGGCUUACCAAGGCCUUGACGGGUAGCCGGGCUGGGUGGGUGACCGGCCACAUUGGGACUGGGAUACGGCCCAGACUCCUACGGGAGGCAGCAGUGGGGUAUAUUGCACAAUGGGCGGAAGCCGGAGGCAGCAACGCCGCGUGCGGUAGGACGGCCUUCGGGUUGUAAACCGAUUUCGCCUGUGACGAAGCGUGAGUGACGGUAAUGGGUAAAUAAGCACCGGCUAACUACGUG
rnacentral:rRNA from 1 species